AUUGAACGCUGGCGGCAGGCCUAACACAUGCAAGUCGAGCGGUAGAGAGGUGCUUGCACCUCUUGAGAGCGGCGGACGGGUGAGUAAUGCCUAGGAAUCUGCCUGGUAGUGGGGGAUAACGCUCGGAAACGGACGCUAAUACCGCAUACGUCCUACGGGAGAAAGCAGGGGACCUUCGGGCCUUGCGCUAUCAGAUGAGCCUAGGUCGGAUUAGCUAGUUGGUGAGGUAAUGGCUCACCAAGGCGACGAUCCGUAACUGGUCUGAGAGGAUGAUCAGUACCACUGGAACUGAGACACGGGCCAGAAUCCUACGGGAGGCAGCAGUGGGGAAUAUUGGACAAUGGGCGAAAGCCUGAUCCAGCCAUGCCGCGUGUGUGAAGAAGGUCUUCGGAUUGUAAAGCACUUUAAGUUGGGAGGAAGGGUCGUUACCUAAUACGUGACGAUUUUGACGUUACCGACAGAAUAAGCACCGGCUAACUCUGUGCCAGCCGCCGCAGUAAGAC
rnacentral:rRNA from 1 species